ACKGCUCAGUAACACGUGGACAACCUGCCCUUAGGACGGGGAUAAACCCGGGAAACUGGGUAUAAUACCCGAUAGGUCUCGAUUGCUGGAAUGCAUCGAGAUUUAAAGCUCCGGCGCCUAAGGAUGGGUCUGCGGCCUAUCAGGUAGUAGUGGGUGUAGCGUACCUACUAGCCUACGACGGGUACGGGUUGUGAGAGCAAGAGCCCGGAGAUGGAUUCUGAGACACGAAUCCAGGCCCUACGGGGURCAGCAGGCGCGAAAACUUUACAAUGCUGGCAWCAGCGAUAAGGGAACCUCGAGUGCCAGGUUACAAAUCUGGCUGUCGAGAUGCCUAAAAAGCAUUUCAUAGCAAGGGYCGGGCAAGACCGGUGCCAGCCGCCGCGGUAACACCGGCGGCUCGAGUGGUAACCGUUAUUAUUGGGUCUAAAGGGUCUGUAGCCGGCCGGAUAAGUCUCUUGAGAAAUCUGGCAGCUUAACUGUCAGGCUUUCAGGAGAUACUGUCUGGCUCGAGGCCGGGAGAGGUGAGAGGUACUUCAGGGGUAGGGGUGAAAUCUUGUAAUCCUUGAAGGACCACCAGUGGCGAAGGCGUCUCACCAGAACGGACCUGACGGCAAGGGACGAAAGCUAGGGGCACGAACCGGAUUAGAUACCCGGGUAGUCCUAGCCGUAAACGAUACUCGCUAGGUGUCGGCCACGGUGCGACCGUUGUCGGUGCCGUAGGGAAGCCGUGAAGCGAGCCACCUGGGAAGUACGGCCGCAAGGCUGAAACUUAAAGGAAUUGGCGGGGGAG
rnacentral:rRNA from 1 species